rnacentral:rRNA from 2 species
UCGGGAAUAUUGGGCAAUGGGGGAAACCCUGACCCAGCAACGCCGCGUGAGUGAAGAAGGCCUUCGGGUCGUAAAGCUCUGUCCUCGGGGACGAAGAAUGACGGUACCCGAGAAGAAAGCCACGGCUAACUACGUGCCAGCAGCCGCGGUAAUACGUAGGUGGCAAGCGUUGUCCGGAAUUACUGGGCGUAAAGGGCGAGUAGGCGGUCUUACCAGUCAGAUGUGAAAGGCGAGGGCUCAACCCUCGGACUGCAUUUGAAACUGUAAGACUUGAGUGCGGUAGAGGAAAGUGGAAUUCCCAGUGUAGCGGUGAAAUGCGUAGAUAUUGGGAGGAACACCAGUGGCGAAGGCGACUUUCUGGGCCGUAACUGACGCUGAGGCGCGAAAGCGUGGGGAGCAAACAGG